GCCACUGACUUCCUGUUCGCUGCUUCUCAUCUCUGUGAGUAUAAGACAUCUCGCUGACACCCUACAAGGGGAAAAACAAAGCAGAUCAACCAUCUUAUCUUCAGCCCACCUGACAGCAUUGAAGGCAUGGAUAUAUGUUUUAUCCUGGAUGGUAUUCUCAUCCUAUAUGGCAUCAUCCUCACCGUGCUGUACUGCAGACUGAGGAUGCGUCCGUCCAGCAGCUCAUCUGGCAGUUACCCAGAGAAACAACCCGCUGGGGGAGGCAUCUAUGCGGGUCUGACCACCCAAAGUACUGACACCUACGAGACCAUCAGACUGGACAAAAAGCCCAUUGUCUAAAACAACACAGAUUUGGUUCAAUGAGGAUGCUGUUCACAAAAACACAGUGUUACACCUGUUGAAGCUUUAUACUGUAUAAUACGUUGUGUUGUCUUGUAGCGGGCCGGGGCAUAGACUUCCUAUAUGCACAUUUUUCACAUUUACUUUGUAAAAAAUGCUUCCUGUAUUCUUGAACUUUAUAGUGUGCAUGCAUGAGAUAUAAAAUUACUAAAUAAUUUAACUGUUUACUAAUAAAAGCUGUGUCGAUGAGUUUAAACUGUGUGACUCUUUGUGUCUCACAGCUGCUCUUGCUGAAGUUAAAAAGAAAAGAGAAGUUUGAGGUUUCUGUUCAAGUCUUCCCUUUUUUUAUUUGAGCUGUCUGGACUAGAACUUCGAGCCGUGUAAACAGAGCUUAACUUCACUAACCGACCUUUAGGAAAAGCUUUAUAAUCCCAUUGCUUUAAUCUGUCAUUGCUUUAGUUUAAUUCUAGCUGAUCGAUGCUUUGUGUCAGAAAAUUCUGAUGACUAUAAAUACUGGUUUCUUAAAAGCUUC